CUCUCUCUCUCUCUCUCUCCUCCUUCUGGGAGCCCUAUAAUGCAGAUGUUAGUAGGCUUGGUGUUGUCCCAGAGGUCUCUUAAAUUGCCCUCAUUUCUUUAUAUUCGUUUUCUGUUCCGCUUCAGUGAUUUCCACUAGUCUUCUGGGUCACUAAUUCGUUCCUGCCUAUCAUUUAAUCUGCUGUUGAUUCCUUCUAUUGUAUUUUUAAUUUCAGCUGUUAUAUUCAUCUGUUUGGUUCAUCUGUGUUUUCUGAUUGUUUGUUCAAAACAUCUGGCUUCUGUAUUCAUCCAUUCUUUGCCCGAGUUCUCUCAUCAUUUUUAUGAUCGUUACCUUGAACCUCUAUUUGGGUAGAUUGUCUGUCUCCAUUUCACUUAGUGCUUCUGUGGUUUCAUCUUGUUCCUUUGCUUGGAACAUGUUCCUCUGUUGCCUCGUUUUGCCUCAUUUGCUGUUUUUACUUCUGUGUAUCUGGUAGGUUGGUUAUGUUUUUUGACCUUGGAGAAGUGGCCUUUUGUAGACAUCCUAUGCAUCCCAGCAGCACACUAACCUCUGGUCACCAGAGCUGAGCUGUAUGCUCUAGGGGCGCCCCCUAUGUGGGCUGCAUGGGCUCUUCUGUUGUGGUCAGCUGACUACUGCUGGCAGUCUAGUAGGUAUGGCUGGCCCCUAGUCCAGUUCAUUGCCAGGCUGCUGGCUGGCAGGGCUGGGUCAUGAGACAGUUGGCUUUGGAACCUCAGUGCAUCCCGGGGCUAGUGCUGUGGGGUUGGGGGCUGGGGUUCCCAGAUCUGGUGUCAACUUGCUGGUGGGCAGGGCCAUGCCCCAGGAGGUCCUGGGGCUGGUGUUUGUCCACUGGUGUGUGUGGCUGGCCCUGGAGUUAGUGUUGGCCGUCUGAUGGGCAAAGCUGGAUCCUGGUGUCUGGCUGCAGGGACUGGGGGUCCUGGAGCUGGUGUUGGCCCACUGGUGUAUGGGGCCAGGUCUUGGGUCCUCUGGACAGGGCUGUAUCCCUGGGCAGCUGUGGGCUCAGGGGGUCUUAAGGCAGCAGGCCUGCUGCUGGGUGGGGCUGUACCCCUGCCUUGUUAGUUUCAUGGCCUGAGGUGUCUCUGUACUAUUCCUGAUAGUCUGACCAGCAGAGCAGCUAAGAAGCUGAGAGAGGAUUCCAAAAUGGGGCUUGCAGCCCCAGUGUCCUUGUGGUAGGAAGAGCUCCCCAAAAGGCUGCUGCAGAGUCUGGAUCCCCAGUGUGAGCUCUAGUUGCCUCCUGCCUUUCUCAGAGGCUCUCCAAGAUCAGCAGGUGGGUCUGAGUCAGGCUCCUUUCAAAUUACUGCGUCUUCCCUGGGUCCUGGAGUGUGAGAUUUUGUGUGAAUCCUUUAAAACGGGAGUCUGUUUCCCAUAGCGCUCUGGCUCUCCUAAAAGUUAGCCCUGCUGGCCUUCAAAGCCAAACAUUCUGGGUUCGUCUUCUCAGUGAAGGACCCCCAGGAUGGGAAGCCUGAUACAGGGCUUGGACCCCUUGCUUCUUGGGGAGAACCUCUGCAAUUGUAAUUAUCCUUCCCUCUGUGGGCCACCCACCCUGGGGUGUGGGUCUUGACUAAACCCGACUCUGCCCCUCCUAACCAUCUUGUUGUGUUUCUUUAUAUCUUUAGUUGUAGAAGAUCUUGUCUGCUAGAUUCCAGUCUUUCUCAUCAAUAGUUGCUCUGUACACAGUUGUAAUUUUGGUGUGCCCGUGGGAGGAGGUGGGCUCAGGAUCUUCCUGCUCUGCCAUCUGGCCAAGUCCGCAAGAGCUAACAUUUAGUAAGGCCUAACUCUAUGUCAGACACUGUGCUGAGCACCUUAAACGGAUUUUGUUUAAUCCUAUCAGGCCUACAAAAUAGGGGCCAUUAUUCCCAUGUUACAGAUGAGGAAGCUGAGGCACAGUGAGAUUAACUUGUCCAAAGUUGCACAGCUAGUGACGGGUGGACGAGCCAGAAUUUGACCCCAGGGCGUUGAUUUGACCCACUGCUGCUUCAUGACAUGUGGACACUAGGGUCAGGAGCUCAGGGCAGAUCUGAGUGGUAACUGUAGACAAUGGAGUCCUCUGAGGCCACGGAGCCAGCCAGGGAACAUUCCCAGCACCAAACUCUUCCUUUGGAUGAAUAAUCAGGGGUAAGUACCCAGAUCACUGAGGUGCCCUUGAUCUUGGGGUGCUGUAAGGGACAAUGGGCUGUAUCUUAAGCAUUACCGCUCAAGCCUACAAGCCCCAUCCAGGGUGCUUUGCCCAGAGGAAGGGGGAGGCUGGACAGCAUAAUCUGGUUGAUAGCAGCUUUAGGGCAAGCCCCCAUGAAGACAAGCGAGACCGAACAGGGCCCAGUACAAAGCAGCCCUCCAGCAGGUCAGCCCGAGGCGGGGAGGGGGGCAGGUGUGGCAUCCAAGCUGUUCUCCAAGAGCCUCCCUCAGCAGGACUUACCCAAAGCUUACUCUUCCCUAAGGACUAGGGUUAGUGUUUUAAAAAUUCAGAUAAACCCAAAUCUUAGAAAGCUGAGGUCCUAAAGGACACUACAGGGACACCUAGUUCAGUUUUGCCACUUUCCAGAUGAGAACAUCAAGGCCCAGAGAAAUUAAGUGACUUGGCCAAAAUUGUCCAGUUAGAUGUCAUGGCAGGGCCACUACUUCACCAUACGAUGAUCCAAGGGUGGACACACCAGGUCCUCAACCUGUUGAGAAUGUGUAGUCAUGACCUUUACUUUGUAAAGGGCUUUCUCUUAGGAUGAUGCCAGUUUCCUCCCGUCUUGCAGCCCAGAGCCUGUUGGAGCUUCUUUUACUCUGGUCCUUUCACUCCCCUAGGUAACUGCAGUCAAGUUCUGACUUGUUAAGGUCAGAGAAUUCUGGCGCGAGGAGGUGGCAGAUGGAUGGAGAAGCUUUUAGCCUGCAACCUGCGAUCCUUUCUGUAAACGGCUCGCCGCUGCUCUCUGCUCAGCGUCCCUCUUCCUGCACAGUCGUCAUCUGUUAACGCAGAGCACGGGAGAGUGCUCUGACACGAAGACACGCUGUGUACGGACACCCGGGGAGCAAUUGGAAGAAAGCAACCAGUUUGGGGGUCAACAGACAAAUGGGAAGAAAAAGUCAUUUACAGUGACCUUCGCCCACUGGCUGUGCACAGGGAGAGCCUGAACUUCCAUUCACCAAAGCACACACCACGAUUUUCAUUCAGCAAAUAUAAGUACACGUUCAUAAGCAGGAGAAAAAUAAGCUCAGAGGUUUUCAUCACAUCAACUGUCACGUCGUUUGGUUUCUCUAAUCUGACAGAAAGGCUAAAGUUUUACAGAGCUUCGAAGGCCUUCGGGGAGGAAUAUAUCAGCAAUUUCAAAAUGGCAGUUCAGAAGAUUUACAUCGUAAUGGGGAAGUGAAUAAAUACCAGCACUUAUGGUUCUUAUAAAUUUAUGUUUUGAAGACAGCAUAGCACUCAAGAGGAAUUCAACUGUUAAGUGCUUUUAAACUCGUUGAGCUCCUUCCGAAUGGCAGCCUGGAAGGAAGAGAAGCCCAUGAGUGUGCAGAGGAGGCAGAUGGAAAGCAGCUCACCUUCCGUUUUAUGCCUGUGUUUUCUUUCUUUGAAAGCCAUACAUGUGCAUGAAACAGAUCCCUUCACUGGGAGAAACAAAAUCACCUGAGAUUUCUUUUAGAACCUACGAAGAAUCCCCUCCCCUAAAUCUAAGUUGCAAACGAUCCGAUCUGGGAUUCUGCCCGGAGCUGAUCCACCUGGGCCGCGAGAGGGCUCGUCCACCUGGCCCACACUCCUGGGUCCCGAGUCACAUGGAAGGGUCGAGCCUCUCCUUCCUUCGGGCCUAACGCUCCGGUUCCUCAUGGUGCCUACAUUAGAAUCACAAAGGAUUCCCAAGCAGAGGUGCCCUCAGAUACAUGGGUGGAGAAAACCGUCUGUCCUGUGCCUCCUCCAGAGCAGAGGAGGUUCAGCUCAGCGCCCUCUCCGCACACUGUCUGGAGCCCUCGGGGAGAGCAGCGCCCCCCCUGCCCGGCAGGCACUGAGCCUCCACUCCCCACCCAGGGACCCGCCUCUGCUCCCGGCAGCAAGUAGAAGACCCCCGCCGGCCGCGUGGGCCCCCGGCGCCUCGCCCCGCCCCUCGUACUUUGUCAGCGGCGGUGA